GGGUAAUUAAGGUUGCAAAAUGGCGAGGGGGGAGGUAAGCUGUCUUUGCUUGGCCAUCUUGGGCUAGCAGGCCUUGCAGAGAACUACCUUUUUAGCUGAGUGAAGGGAUCAACCUGAGUUGGAGUUCUCCUAUGCUGUGGCCAGAUCCACUAGAAAUUAACCCAGAAUCUUAGCCUCUCAGUGGCCUAUCGGUGAUGCCACACUCAAUCAGAAACUAUGCUACUGCUGAAGAGGUAUAUUGAGCCCUGCCUGGUUAACCUCCAGUGAGGUUAUUAGAGAAUUGGGAGAGGCUCAAAUCAGCAUCCUGCACCUAGUUAUCAAACCAUUGUGAAGUCUUGAUUCCUGGAUGGCCAGAAAACUUGUCAUUGGUCAAGAGCAACAUUAAGAUCUGCCUGUUACUCAUACUGAUGCUUCCUGCCCAGCAAGUUCAUCAGAGGGCGAGGAUGAAUUACGGUUGCCAUGAAUGUCCUUGUGAGGCAGUUGGGAAGCCUUGGCUGGAUUGUGAAGGAUAUUUGAAAAGUAUUUUAGAGUCCACCAGAUCAUCCAUGUGAGUGACCAUGCAGCAAAAGAAGGAGGGUCCUCUCAGUGAUUAAGGAUUAUGAAGUAUUAAUUCUUCCACUGAUAUCUCAAAAGGUGAUCUGGACAAAGGAACAGGUAUCUCAGGUAAGCAAUUGUUGAAUAUGAAAGUAAAUAUUCUUCUUUGAUCGUUUGUUGUAUUUGUUAUGUUUAAUAGCUUUCCUAAUAA
rnacentral:lncRNA from 1 species